rnacentral:lncRNA from 1 species
UUUUACAAUUUCAGUUUCAUUUUUUCCUCUCUUCUCUCUCUUUUCGACUGUUCUUCUUCUUCUCCAAUUUUCUUUCAAUCGGAUGAGAUAAAAUAUUGACAUGGUAUCAGAGCGGGUAUAUUCUGGUUCUCCUCAUCAUCAGCAUUCGAUCGAUGUUACCCUCACCGAUUUCCAUCCAUGUUUCUGCUGAUUCUCAAAAUCUAGGGUUUUUCCUAUUCGGUUAGUCUUCGAUGAACCACUCGUAUUUUUGUUGUUAAGCUUGUUACCUAG